CGGAUUGUAGUCUGNAACCCGACUACAUGAAGCUGGAAUCGCUAGUAAUCGCGGAUCAGAAUGCCGCGGUGAAUACGUUCCCGGGUCUUGUACACACCGCCCGUCACACCAUGGGAGUCGGAAAUGCCCGAAGUCUGUGACCCAACCUUAGGGAGGGAGCAGCCGAAGGCAGGUCGGAUGACUGGGUGAAGUCGUAACAAGGUAUC
rnacentral:rRNA from 1 species